AGUUCUGAGGUGUUUUACAUGUUGGAUUGCAAAUCCAAAGUAGUAGAUUAGCGUCUACCGGGACUU
rnacentral:tRNA from 2 species